GACGAACGCUGGCGGCGUGCUUAACACAUGCAAGUGGAGCGACGAACCAGGGCUUGCCCUGGGGCAGAGCCGCGAACGGGUGAGUAACACGUGGGUCACCUACCUCGAUGACCGGGACAACCCGAGGAAACUCGGGCUAAUACCGGAUGUGCACUUCGGUGGAAAGGUAGCUUCGGCUUCCGCAUCGAGAUGGGCCCGCGGCGCAUUAGCUUGUUGGUGGGGUAACGGCCUACCAAGGCGACGAUGCGUAGCUGGUCUGAGAGGACGAUCAGCCACACUGGGACUGAGACACGGCCCAGACUCCUACGGGAGGCAGCAGUGGGGAAUCUUGCGCAAUGCGCGAAAGCGUGACGCAGCAACGCCGCGUGGGGGAAGACGGCCUUCGGGUUGUAAACCCCUUUCAGGAGGGACGAAGGUUCGGCGGUGAAUAGCCGUACGGACUGACGGUACCUCCACAAGAAGCCCCGGCUAACUACGUGCCAGCCGCCGCCGUAACAC
rnacentral:rRNA from 1 species